rnacentral:rRNA from 1 species
CGUCCUUACGUUCGCCGCCUGGGGAGUACGGUCGCAAGACUGAAACUCAAAGGAAUUGACGGGGGCCCGCACAAGCGGUGGAGUAUGUGGUUUAAUUCGAUACAACGCGAAGAACCUUACCUGGUCUUGACAUCUGCGGAACUUUCCAGAGAUAGAUUGGUGCCUUCGGGAGCCGUGAGACAGGUGCUGCAUAGCUGUCGUCAGCUCGUGUCGUGAGAUGUUGGGUUAAGUCCCGCAACGAGCGCAACCCUUGUCCUUAGUUGCCAGCACGUAAUGGUGGGAACUUUAAGGAGACUGCCGGUGACAAAUCGGAGGAAGGGGGGGAUGACGUCAAGUCAUCAUGGCCCUUACAACCAGGGUUACCCCCGUAUUACAUGGGAAGGGACAAAGGGCUGCAACCCCCCGGGGGGGAGCUAAUCCCAAAAACCCUUUUCCAUCCCGAUUGGAGUCUGCCACUCCACUCCCUGAAAGUCGAAUCGCCUAGUUCGCAAAUAUCCAUUUGCUGCGGGAAACACGCCCGGGGGUGUUGCACACCGCCCGCCACACACCGUGAGAGUGUGGCGCCCCAAACACAGGUCUCUCACCGCAGAGGGGAGAG